GAUCCUGGCUCAGGAUGAACGCUGGCGGCGUGCUUAACACAUGCAAGUCGAGCGAAGCACUUUGGAAAGAUUCUUCGGAUGAUUUCCUUUGUGACUGAGCGGCGGACGGGUGAAGGUAACGCGUGGGUAACCUGCCUCAUACAGGGGGAUAACAGUUAGAAAUGACUGCUAAUACCGCAUAAGACCACGGUGCCGCAUGGUACAGUGGUAAAAACUCCGGUGGUAUGAGAUGGACCCGCGU
rnacentral:rRNA from 1 species